rnacentral:rRNA from 1 species
GAUGAACGCUGGCGGCGUGCCUAAUACAUGCCAGUCGAGCGAACAGACGAGGAGCUUGCUCCUCUGACGUUAGCGGCGGACGGGUGAGUAACACGUGGAUAACCUACCUAUAAGACUGGGAUAACUUCGGGAAACCGGAGCUAAUACCGGAUAAUAUAUUGAACCGCAUGGUUCAAUAGUGAAAGACGGUUUUGCUGUCACUUAUAGAUGGAUCCGCGCCGCAUUAGCUAGUUGGUAAGGUAACGGCUUACCAAGGCAACGAUGCGUAGCCGACCUGAGAGGGUGAUCGGCCACACUGGAACUGAGACACGGUCCAGACUCCUACGGGAGGCAGCAGUAGGGAAUCUUCCGCAAUGGGCGAAAGCUUGACGGAGCAACGCCGCGUGAGUGAUGAAGGUCUUCGGAUCGUAAAACUCUGUUAUUAGGGAAGAACAAAUGUGUAAGUAACUAUGCACGUCUUGACGGUACCUGAUCAGAAAGCCACGGCUAACUACGUG